rnacentral:rRNA from 1 species
UACGUAGGGGGCAAGCGUUGUCCGGAAUCAUUGGGCGUAAAGCGCGUGUAGGCGGUUCGGUAAGUCCGUUGUGAAAGUCGGGGGCUCAACCCUCGGAUGCCGAUCGAUACUGUCGGGCUAGAGUCCGGAAGAGGCGAGUGGAAUUCCUGGUGUAGCGGUGAAAUGCGCAGAUAUCAGGAGGAACACCAAUGGCGAAGGCAGCUCGCUGGGACGGUACUGACGCUGAGGCGCGAAAGCGUGGGGAGCAAACAGG